UGCGACUUUAGCACUUCGUACAUCCAAAUGGAUAGCAGCAUAUGUAUAGGGUGUAUGCACUAAGCUGUUUGACGUAUUUCCUGUUUCAAAAAAUGCAGCUCGGCCGGUUCCGGUCUGUGUGUUUAUCGCGCUAGUCAGCUGACGUUGAUACACUUUAGACAUGAAUCAAGACCGCAAACAUUUAAAAACGGUUCAUUUUUAUAGGCAGGAGAAACCUACACCGAGCACUGCCGUGUCCCCCACUGUAAAGCCCAAAUCCGAAGGGGUAUAAGUUUCCAUGGCUUUCCGAGCCAAACUGACGUGAGGAGACAAUGGAUUGUAAACAUACGCCGGGAUAAAUAUGUCAUCACCACUCACUCUAAGAUCUGUAGCAGACACUUUAGCUCUGACAAGAUGAUUGAGCCGACUACUCUUCAGGGUCGAAGGAGACUUACAAAAGGUGCUGUAGCGCCCAUUUGUGAGUGGAACCAGUAUACAGUCGGAACCCCAAGGCGCGGCGUGUGGGAGAGAGUGGAUCGGUUCGUCGAAACUGCCCCUCCGGAAGAUGAAGUUGAUCUCCUUUUCAACGAUCAAGACUACUGCUCUCUCUGAACCGGCUGCCAUGGAUAUGUCCACAUCCGCUGCUGAAAGCGUCUCAAAUGAAGUAGGGGAGAGCCGGGUCGAUUGAAACACGGGACGAUUGAAACACAGCGAUUUACUCGAAAACCACGCAAGGCUUUCACGUCAAAAUUCGUCACUACGUUCAGCAAGCAAGACUGACCAACCCCGGGAAAUUUCAUGUAAUGACGUCACGCCGUUCAGAUGUUAUCCCGCGAACCUGUUUUCGAGAGCUGUCAGAAAAUUUGCCUUUGAGCUGGCAGUCCACUUCAGCUGCCCAUUCCCUGCAUCCUGGUCGAGGAAGAGCAUGGCGGGGAAGGACUGGUUCACCUCCUUCAUGGAGCGCAGUGGCAGCCUCUCCCUUCGGCGUCCAGAGGCCACUAGCCAACAGCGAUUGUCCAGCUUCAACCAAACAAAUGUAAACUUGUUCCACCAAAAUUUAAAGACGGUGCUGGAACGGCACCAGUUCCAGGCCAAGGACAUUUGGAACAUUGAUGAAACCGGGGUCACCACUGUCCAGGUGCCAGACCGUGUCGUCGCCCAGAUGGGGCAGAAGCAGGUCGGGUCAGUGACCUCAGCGGAGAGGGGGACCCUGGUCACAGUUGCCUUGGCAGGCAAUGCGCAGGGCGACCUUGUUCCGCCAUUCUUCAUCUUCCCCCGUAAGCGGUUCAAAGACCACUUCCUGAGGGGUGGACCCGUUGGCUGUGCUGGCAGCGGCAACCCAACUGGCUGGAUGAAGGAGCCAGACUUCCUCCUGUACCUGGCCCACUUCACCAGGCACACCCGUGUGUCCAAGGAGUCGAAGCUGCUCCUCCUGCUGGACAAUCACCCGUCCCACCUGUCAAUUGCAGCAAUUGAUUACUGCAGAGCUAAUGGCAUAGUGCUGCUGUCAUUCCCUCCCCACUGCACCCACAGGUUGCAGCCAAUGGACAUUAGUGUCUUCGGCCCCCUAAAGGGGUACGUAAACAGUGCGGCGGACAGGUGGAUGAGGAGCCACCCAGGGAUCAACAUCUCCAUUUAUGAUGUGCCCUCCAUCGUUGCUGAAGCCUUACCAAAGGCUGCGACAGUGAACAACAUUACCUCCGGGUUCUCAAGUCCAGGGAUCUGGCCUUUUAACCCCUCUGCGUUUGAGGAAAAGGACUUCGCCGGAGCCUAUUCCACAGACCGUCCUCCUCCCCAGGCUUCGGGUGACGAGGUCAGCGCUUCUCCAGGUGCCACUUCAGGUAGGAACACUUCAUCAGAAGCAACAGAGGAUUAA
rnacentral:lncRNA from 1 species